rnacentral:rRNA from 1 species
CCUACGGGGGGCUGCAGUGGGGAAUAUUGGACAAUGGGGGGAACCCUGAUCCAGCCAUGCCGCGUGUGUGAAGAAGGCCCUCGGGUUGUAAAGCACUUUCAGUGAGGAAGAACGCCUGGUGGUUAAUACCCAUCAGGAAAGACAUCACUCACAGAAGAAGCACCGGCUAACUCCGUGCCAGCAGCCGCGGUAAUACGGAGGGUGCGAGCGUUAAUCGGAAUUACUGGGCGUAAAGCGCGCGUAGGUGGCUUGAUAAGCCGGUUGUGAAAGCCCCGGGCUCAACCUGGGAACGGCAUCCGGAACUGUCAAGCUAGAGUGCAGGAGAGGAAGGUAGAAUUCCCGGUGUAGCGGUGAAAUGCGUAGAGAUCGGGAGGAAUACCAGUGGCGAAGGCGGCCUUCUGGACUGACACUGACACUGAGGUGCGAAAGCGUGGGUAGCAAACAGGAUUAGAUACCCCCGGUAGUC